AUUGAACGCUGGCGGAAUGCUUUACACAUGCAAGUCGAACGGUAGAGGGGGCAACCCCUCGAGAGUGGCGAACGGGUGAGUAAUAUAUCGGAACGUGCCCAGUCGUGGGGGAUAACGUAGCGAAAGUUACGCUAAUACCGCAUACGAUCUACGGAUGAAAGCGGGGGAUCGUAAGACCUCGCGCCAUCGGAGCGGCCGAUAUCAGAUUAGGUAGUUGGUGGGGUAAGGGCUCACCAAGCCAACGAUCUGUAGCUGGUCUGAGAGGACGACCAGCCACACUGGAACUGAGACACGGUCCAGACUCCUACGGGAGGCAGCAGUGGGGAAUUUUGGACAAUGGACGCAAGUCUGAUCCAGCCAUUCCGCGUGCAGGAUGAAGGCCCUCGGGUUGUAAACUGCUUUUGUACGGAACGAAAAGGUUUCCAUUAAUACUGGGAGCUCAUGACGGUACCGUAAGAAUAAGCAUCGGCUAACUACGUGCCAGCAGCCGCAGUAA
rnacentral:rRNA from 1 species